GAAAAGAAACCAACAGGGAUUGCCCUAGUAACGGCGAGUGAAGCGGCAACAGCUCAAAUUUGAAAUCUGGCUUCGGCCCGAGUUGUAAUUUGCAGAGGAUGUUUCUGGCGCGGUGCCUUCCGAGUUCCCUGGAACGGGACGCCACAGAGGGUGAGAGCCCCGUAUGGUUGGACACCAAGCCUGUGUGAAACUCCUUCGACGAGUCGAGUAGUUUGGGAAUGCUGCUCAAAAUGGGAGGUAAAUCUCUUCUAAAGCUAAAUACCGGCCAGAGACCGAUAGCGCACAAGUAGAGUGAUCGAAAGAUGAAAAGCACCUUGAAAAGGGGGUUAAACAGUACGUGAAAUUGUUGAAAGGGAAGCGCUUGUGACCAGACUUGCGCCGGGCGGUUCAUCCGGGGUUCUCCCCGGUGCACUCCGCCCGGCUCAGGCCAGCAUCGGUUUUCGUUGGGGGAUAAGAACGGCAGGAACGUGGCCCUCCUUCGGGUGGGUGUUAUAGCCUGCCGUACGAUACCCUGACGGGGACCGAGGUUCGCGCUCCGCAAGGAUGCUGG
rnacentral:rRNA from 1 species